rnacentral:lncRNA from 1 species
CAGGUAUGCACAUUGAUAACAUUUAGUCAUAUUCAUGUUUUUUCUCUGCAUGUGUAUCCUGCUUUUGUCUCAAACCAGAACAACUCUGAAUACAUUGAGGAAGAAAAGGGAAGGCCAUGUGUCAGAUAAUUGAAUGGCAGGAACAGUCUGUACCAUUACCCUAUAUGCGUUAGUUAGGUUGUCAUGUUCAAUUGAGUGCCUUGGCCACCAUUCCACCUUCCAAGCUACAACUGUCAUACUGCAGACACUAAAAUGGUCUUCAAGUAGCCCAAGAAGUGCUUUGUUUCCUUUAUUAUGGAUCGGUGUAUUUGUAUACUAACUAAUACAGGAUCAGUUUUGUAUAGUGGGAUACUUCUAAAGUACGAGAAACAUUAGGUAACAACAUAUAAUAUUAUGUGAGUUACUGGCUCAUAUAAAGCACGAACAAUAAACAGAUCCUUGGCAGUUUUGAUAUUUGUCCAAUGUGGAUACUUGUUUAUUGACCAGCAUUAAGGAGCAUCUCCUGAAUUAUCAUGCAUUUGCUUUAUUCUUCUUAACCUUUUUGGCCAAAUGACCAAUUUUCAAUACCAUUUAAACUUUCAGUUUAUAAUUUUUAACUUGGCAUGGAUGCAGGCCACUACUCCAGGGUAUAAAGCCUAUCAAGAGCAAGUUCUGAGCAAUUGCUCGAAAUUUGCACAGGUAUGCUUCAUGACAUAUAGCAAAAUUGUUGGCAAAACAAGAUCUUGUUAACAAAGCUUUGUCAUGAUUGCAUAUUUGAGCAACAUUCUCUCAUCAAUGUGAGGGCGCAACUGCUAUCUUUCUGGGUUUUAACUGCCCAAAAUGUCAUUUAACAGACUCUGCUCGAGAUGGGCUAUGAACUUGUUUCUGGUGGAACUGAGAACCAUCUGGUGUUGGUGAAUUUGAAAAACAAGGUAUCAGAUUUAUCUUUUUUAUCCUUUUAUUGUGCUAGUCCUGGAUGAUGUCCAAUUACUAAUGUACUGUGAGUGUUAAUUUAAGACAUCUUAUUUUGCUACUAGAAUAAAUUGGAGAGUUUGGCUCCAUGUACUGCUUUUAUUACUAGUUUUACCAUGAAAAGUUGGAUGAUCUUACUUUUUGCCAAAAUGUUCCAUCAACAGGGAAUUGAUGGUUCCAGAGUUGAAAAAGUGUUGGAAGCUGUUCAUAUUGCAGCCAACAAAAACACUGUUCCUGGGGAUGUGUCGGCCAUGGUUCCAGGUGGCAUCAGGAUGGGUAGGGACUCUGAUUACAUAUUCUUAUUACAUAUUUACAUCAUACUUAUACGAUCACUGUAUGAGCAUUGUUUCUUGAUGGAUUGAAUUGCAUUUCAGGAACUCCGGCUCUUACUUCUAGGGGAUUUGUUGAGGAGGAUUUUGCCAAGGUAGCAUAUUUCUUUGAUGCUGCUGUGAAGUUGACUGUGAAGAUCAAGUCUGAAACUCAAGGUUCUUACCAAUGUUUUUUACCUUAACUUUCAUUCUCUUAGGGAUUGUGUGUGUUUGAUCUUCACUCAUGCUGAAAUGCUUGUGCUGUUUAAUGAGCCAGGUGGUUGAAUCUACUAACAUGCAGUUGGGUGCUGUUAAUUUUGUAAACCAGGAACAAAGUUGAAAGAUUUCGUGGCCACAACACAGUCCGCUAACUUCCAAUCCGAGAUUGCGAAACGUUGCCAUGAUGUUGAGGAGUACGCAAAGCAAUUCCCCACAAUUGGGUUUGAAAAGGAAACCAUGAAGUACAAGAGCUGAGAGAAAAACGCGACUGUACUAGGUAUACAUACUUACUUCAGUAUCAUUAGAUCAGCUUGGGUGGCCUAGUUCUCUAUACCUAGGAUUAUCAUCCCUUGCGGUUUCUCAAUUUUUUUUUAACCUCUUUUUACAUUGGACUCUCCUACAUCAACAGGUAUUUGACAGCUUACUGAUCUGCCAGUGAAUUUCUAUGACUGCAUGUCACAUUCCCUUUUGUUAUUCUUAAAUUUCAGCUACUUAUUGGUUCUCUGUUUCUGUUUUUGCUGAUUGAACAUAUAUGUGUUGAGCAGAGCAGCAGAAGCCAGCCUGUAUGAGCUUUUACUACACAAAGACGACGAGGGAUGAAAUGUAACUUGUGAUGAUGAGCCAUGUAUCAACUAUCGACCCUUUGAUUUGGCGCUUUUAUGAAUACAAUAUACAGCAAACCUCGAUUUAGAUCACAAUUAAUGUAUAUAAAUACUUUGUAUUUACUGAGGCUUUCAGGAAGCAAAUAAACCUGCAAUAAAACUAGAUGGGAUUUCUUCUUUCUCCUUAUGGUUUCUUAGCACAGUGAAUAUAAAUAAAAGAAUUCAGUAUUGAGUUGAGUUUUUAUUGAAUACUGAAUCAAUAAUUGUUAGUUAAGAGAAAUAAAAAAAUAAAAAUUUAAAUAAAUCUUAAUUAUUGAUUCAGUGCUAAAAAAAAAAAAAAAACUCAGCAUUAAAUCUUAAUCCAAAACGGAAUCAAGUAACAUGGCAUAUAACAAAAUUAUGCAAACUGAUAUAAGAAAUGAUCAAAUAAGAAUUUUCAUUUUUAUACCAUUCUAAUAUGUUUUAUUUAUGUGUGGGACGUACAUUUCCGAUUCCGAGGCAUUUAACUCCACAAUCCGCUGCCGAUACCAUGAACUGAAUCUAAAACAAAUGGUAAAUUUGUGGACUUAUUCGUUACAUUCGCAAACAACAGGGACUGAUUUGAUAUUUCACCUCACAGAGUCGCCGCAAAUGCGGUUGAAUUUUUUUGAGCAUGCUCUCGGCUUCCCGCGACAAUAAAUUGGUAAUGAAAAUUUUCAUGACUCAAUUGAGUUAUUUAAUGAUGUGAUAUUUUAUGUGUCAUAAUUAUAUGUAUUGUAAAAAUAAUAAGUUAAUAAUUAUUAAUAAAAUCAGUUAAUAUUAAACACAUAAUAUUAAAUUAUUGGUAACAGAUCAGUGUGUAUCUCAAUUAGAUAUUUGAAUUUAGCAAAAAUAGCAUUAUCGUUAAUGUAUUCAAUCAACACCAUUUAAUCAUGCAUACUAACAUAUGUUCAAUUGAAAACACAAGACUGUGUAAAAAUAAUUAGCAUUCGAAAAACUAGCUUAACGACCAACGUAUCGAAAGAUAAAAUGGUAUAGAAAGAUUGAGAUGACAGAAAUAUCGCCGGCACGAUAGGGUCAACUUCACCUCAAUCAUUAAAAUGAUCCUAAAAAAUAUAGUGAUAUAAUUACUAACCUUUCAUAAUCAAAGGUUACCUAAGCUUAUUGGACAUCAACUUAAGUUUCAUUAAAUUAAUGGUGUGUUUACUACUAAUUGAGAAUGAGAGUGGAAAUUAAGAAAUGAGAAUAAAUGAUAUAUUUACUUACUUAAAUGAUAUAUGGAAUGAGAAACAAAUUGGCUGACCCCACCUAAAAUUAAAAAUGAUUACUAGAGUUUUCAUUCUUAUAGAUAGAGGUAGGAAUGAGAAUCAUAUUUCUUAAACUGACUAUAUUACCCCAUUUAAAUCUUGAAAUUUUCAUUUUAUCCUUCAUUAUAUCAUCAUCAUCAUAAGAAUAAAAAAAAAUUAUUAAUAUUAAUUAUAAUUAUUAAUCAUUAUAAUUAAUAUUUAUUACUACUCCUACUAGUCUACUACUAGGAAUACAAUGAUUAUAAAUAAUAAGAAAUAUUAUAAUUAUUAUUAACAAUAAUUGUUGUUGUUGUUGUUGUUAUAAAUAAUGACAAUAAUCAACUAAGGUCAAUUUAAUAACUUGUAACAAUCCAUUAUGAUUCCAAGAUAAAGUAAACACAUUAAUGGCAAUACAGUUUAUUCUGAUUCCGAUUUCCAGAUCUAAAUUAAAUAAUUUAUUCUUAUUUUCAUUUCAGUCCAUUCCGAUUAUUAAUUAGUAAAAACACCAUAAAUUCUUACCAAUUCUAAUUUCCAAGCUAAAUAUAAGAAUGAACGGUGAUAGGAACACAAUUAUUGAUAAAAGAUCUUGAGCUUCUUAUUUAAGGAACAACAAUCCUUAAUCCUAACGUGUAUCUUCCCUUUGCUCUGGCUUUAGAUGUUAGCUGAAAAAAAUUAAAAAUCUAUGAAUUGGCAAUUUGCCCCACACCAGUCACCUGUUCAGGUGCUGUUCGAAGAACAACACAACAUAAUUUGUUCACAAAAUAUUUUACUUCUAAGAAUGCCAUAAGAAGAAUUGUCCAUAUUGUACAAAUAUACUAAAAUUGCUCAGUUAUUCCUUUCAUAAAUAUCAAAUAUGAAAUACUUUCCACAUACAUAUAGUGCAUACAAAUUCAAACAACUAUCAAUGUUAUAAAUUUGUAACUUCCUAUAAAUCCCAGAGGUUUAUUCAACAUAUUUAUUUUCAUUCAUUACAACAUAAAAGAAAACAUACAAGAAAUGAACAGGCUCAAGCUCAACGACCAACUUCAAAGCUUGAAUUUGUAAUGAAAGGUUCGCCAUAGCUGACAGAUGGUGUAGGCACAUGAUAACUUGGAACAUGCAUUUUUGAUGGAAGAUUUGGCAUUGUUGUUUCAAAAUUAAGGACUUGAAUAGCAUGCCUUAUGGAAGGCCUGAAACAACGGUCAGGGUGAGCACACCAUAAUCCAACAAUCAACAAACAUGUCAUUUGUUGCUCAUCAAAUCUCGAAUCCAGUCUCUCAUUAGCAGCUGAAAGUAGCUUUCUUUCUCCAUAAAAAUCCCAGACCCAAGCCACCAGUUUUGGACAGUAGUUCUUACUGCUUCCCCCAAGCACAGCCUUCUCGCCUUCGACUCCCAGUUUCUCAACUGAUCCAGUAUUGGAGCAGGGAUGAGGAACCACAAACUGAGUUCGAAGUUUCUGUGCUUUGUAACGAUUAAUCACUUUUCUUCCAGUAGCAAUUUCUAAGGCAACUACUCUAAAGCUGAACACAUCUAACUCUUUACUAACCCUGCCUGUGCUAAUGUAUUCAGAGGCCAUGUAGGCUAAAGUUCCUACCAGCAUAAUAGUCUUAGGACCAAGCUCAUGGUCCAUCAGCCUGGCUAAUCCAAAGUCGCCUAAUUUGGCAUUAAAAUUAAAAUCUAAUGUUUGGGGAAUAAAAUAGGGUGAUCAUGAUCUCCUCGAGGUAAAGAGUAAGUAAAUAGUUGAUAGACUAUUAGGAGAAAAUUGUGGUGACCUCGAGCAGGCCACCUCAACCAUAUGGUAAUUUUGAUAACCUCGAAUAGGCCACCUCAACUAGGUGGUAAUUCUUGAGACCAUGAGCAUACCACCUCGACCAGGAGGUAAUUCUGGUGACCUCGAGUAAGCCACCUCGACCAUGAUGUAAUUCUAGUGACCUCGAGUGGAUAGGAAGAGACAUUAGACCAAGUCACUAGGAAGCAAGACUCAGUCAAAAUAAUUGCUACAAAUCUCCUCCAAAAAAUCAUAGCACGAAUUUAAUUCAUUAAUGGUUAUUUAUUGCUGACAUGACUCAAAAGUGUUAUUACUCCCAAGUAUAAGAGUUUCUAAUUAUAAUAUAACCCGAUGAGUCUGGGGUCGAACCACAUAAAAUUUAAAAUCUAGUAGCCAAUUUGUUAAAUAAAGAAAAUUAAUUGCGGGAAAAGAAAUCACUAUGAAUUAAUUUAAAAAUAUGCUAAGGUUACGGGAUCCACUCUCAGUAUUCAAACUAUAAUUUUACUACUCUCUCAUUUUUUUAUAUUUUGCCUCACUUUUACCAGUUAAUUAUUAUAUCAUUUAAUUUUUAAUUAACUAUGUGUGUGGAUAAAUAUGAAAUCAAGUACUUAAUGUGCCACAACUAUAUUAAUAUGUUGCCAUUAUGUUAAAAUACAAUACAGAUUCAAUAAAAUUUAUAAAUUAACAUGACAUAAAAAUAAUCAUUAAAAAAAUAAAAUAAACUUAAAACUCACUUGAGAAAGCAAUUAAUUUAAUAAUUUGAAACCUUGAGUUUCAUCCUUCACCUUAACUUAGUAAAAUUAUCCACUCGUAUUGAAAGAAAAUAAAACACUAUUUUUAUUUAACCGACUUUUAAAAUAUAUUAUAAGGAAGUUGAUUACACAACAAAAAAAGAAAAAGAAACAAUUCACAUGGCCACUUGACCAUCACGAGCAACCAAAGCAUGGUUGCUUACCUUUUAUUCUUUUUUUAUUUUUUUUGAAAUAUUUUUUUUAUUAAUUACAUCUCCUCAAUAAUACAUUUCAAAAUACUCCAGUAAUUUUUCUUUGUUCUCGCUUCCAGUUCCAACUCCUCCUUAUUCUUGAAAUAUAUCUACAAUAAAAUUAAAAUAAAAUUAACAUAUUACAAAGUUACAAAUUAAUUUAACAUAAAUAUAUUUGGAGAGUAUUAAAAUAAUUUAAGAAUAAUGAGCGCAUUAAUCUACACAAUAAGUGAAAAAUUGAUAAUUUUAUCUUCAUUGAAUGUACACUUUUUAAUGUCAAUCAAUUGCCAUGAUCUAAGGUCGUGGGGAUGGGGUGUUUAUAAAAACUCCAAGAAAAUCAUGUCAGGAGAGGUGGAACUUUCUUUCUCUGUUUUGAUUUUACUAUUCCAUUUACUUAAGAUUAUUUAUUCAUAAAAACUAGAAAUUACAUAUUUUGUUUUUCCUAUAAACCCGAUAACUGACUUGGGCGUUGGAGGGUUCACACCGGAAAAUUUUUUGGUGCCUCUUACUGGUAUUUGUGAUUUCAGGUGUUUGCGAGUUAUCUGCUAGUGAUCGUAAACUGCUUCCCCAACAAAUAAAUUUAAUGAUAACACAAAGAUUUAUUAUCCAGUUAGUAACUGACUAGUCCAAAUUUCGACGUCAACAUUUAACAUUAGUUUGCUCGAUUUGGUAUCCCUGUGCACAAUGCAUUGCUCCUAUUCUUCAUGAAGAUAGAGCAAAGCCGUGGCCAAACCGAGAGAAAUCAUGUACCUUACAGCCCAAGCAAGAGGACUCUUCUUGCCAAACAGGCGAGCAUCAAGGCUACCGUUUGGCAUGAACUCGUACACAAGCAAGAAUUCGCCUCUGUCAUGGCAGCAGCCUAGGAGUUGCACCGGAUUACGAUGCCUCAACUGGCUAAUUGUCUUCACCUUGGUUACAUAGUCCUUUUUCUCUUAUUUAGAUCCUCUUGAAACCUUCUUGACAGCAACAGCCAUAUCCAAAUCAAUAAGAUAACCCUUGUAAACAGAACCAAACCCUCCUUAGCCCAACAUUUUGUUCUUGGGAAAGUUGCUGGUUGCAGAAGCAAGAUCUCUAUAAAAAAAUCUUCUUGGUCCUGCUCCUCUUUCAAGGUCCUCAUUUAUCGAAGUUAAGGUUUCUCUUUCUGCAGCAGAUUUCUUUCCUUCUUCUGCCUCUGCAAAAUCAACAGUCCCGUUAUCGCUGCAGCUAUCGGACCACCAAUUGGUACUGUAAAAGCAACUAUUAUUCUGAUCUUUUUACCAUCAGUUCCAUUUGUACUUUUAAUAUCCAAGCUUGAGCUGAACUACUAUUCAAGUAUAUGUCGCUCUCCAAACUGGCCUGUAGCAGCUGAGAAGCCAAUUGUCACCCACUGUGUUAGAACUUUCAUCAGAUUAAUUAUGUAAAACAAACUAGUAUCCUCCCGAGGAUCAGGGGUCAGUCGUUAGGUCCAAGACACACUCAAAUUCUUAGUAGUAGAAUUGUAAGCAAUCUGCACAUCAGCAGUAUCUUGUCUGUGGAAGCUGACGUUCCAGUGGGUGGAGACAGCUGAAGAAAUUGAGUUAUUGUUGAUUCCGACAUGGUCCUUAACAUCAAGGGGAUCCCACUCAGGGUUUUGAGUUGGAAUCAAACUCCUCCGAGACGAUAUGAUUUGUAGAAGAGAAAGAAGCUGUGGUGUUAAACAGCCCUAAGAAGCCACCAGCUGAAUUCGAAGGAAUCUGAAAUCCAACAGGAGCUAAGAAAAAUACGAGCCCGUGGCCGUAAGUGGGACGACCCACCCAGGGUGUCUAUUUGGAAGGAGAAUUUGGUGCUGAAGUCAGUUAGCUUACCUGUGUCAGAGUCCCAGAGCGACACUCUCUCAGCAUAAGUAGCCCAACCCACACGACAUAGAUAUUCGUUGUUUUUGGUUAAUUCAAUGGCUCCAACUGAAGAUAUUGCAUCUCCCUGAUAUAGUAUUUUUUCUUCUUUUUUUUCACCAGGGUCAAAACUAGGCAUACGGAAGGAAACUUGUGAACUGGGCGAGGGCAGAAGAACAAUAAAGAAAAUGAAGAAAGGUAAAUUGACCAAGGCAAAAGGGUGAAACAACAUGAAGCAGAGGUACAACGUGUCCGUGGAGCUUAAUUAACCUUUGUAAUAGUGCAGCUAUAAAGCUAAUUGAAAGACAAUUAAUAAUUAUCGAUUGUAUCUCCGAGAAGCUGCAUCAAAAGGUAAUAUUAGCUGUGGAAUUAUAUAAAAAUAAAUAGGUUGUUUAGAAGUCUUUUCUCAAGGAAACCAUGGCAACUUUCAUUAUCAAAGCUUGGACAGUAGCUUACGUUUCAGUAAGCUAAAUGCUUACCAAUUCCAAGCAAAAACAGAACAAACAAUAGUCAAUCCAUCGUCAAGACGAAAUUGUUGGAAACAGUACAAUUAUUGCCCUACCUUUUACUAGAAAAAAGAAAUCUAGCGUCGUAUUAGAUAUAUGUUUUAAGGAUCAACAAUUCCCCGUGAUAUGUAUAUUAUAUACGAUGCAGGUCUUAUUUUGUUUUGAUUUUCGAUGGUAGCUUUGGAAAAUAUAAGUGCCAAUGGGGUGACCAAAAAUAAAAUACUCAGUCUGGGACUCUGGGUCUGGCCAGGCUUUAGUAGGGCCUGAUGAUUAGACGCUAAGAUUUUAAAUGUCUUAACAUGAAUUAGAAUUUAUGGUAAACCAAUUUAAUAGAACUUAUUCUAAUUGUUUUCAUUAAAAAAAAUUUUAUUUUCAAUUGAUGAGUAAAUUUUUUCUUUGCUCAAAUAAAUUAAAUAAAUAAACUAUUUUAUUAAAAUUAAAGUUUAAUAUUGAUUUAUAAGUUUAUUUCAUUUUUACAAGAGUUUAUUUUAUUUGUAAUUUUAAAACACUAAUUUACCAUUCUUAUAUUAAUUUAUUAAUUUUAAUUUUAAUUUACUAUUCUUAUAUGGAAUUUAAAAAAUUUAUUUUAAUCACAAUAUUAAUACCGUAAUUUUAAUGACGCAAUCAUAAAUUUUUUCAUAUUUCUUCCAUACUUUAAAUAGAAAACUAAGUAAAAAUGAUGGGACUUCAAGCAUUAUUUGGGAUUAAAUCUAAUAUUUUUGUUUAGCUGAUGUCAGGAUUGCUGCUUUCUCCGUUUUUAUCUACAUUUUCUAUAUUCUUUAAAUUUUCAAAGUGAGCGAAUGGCAUAUAAAGUCAUCUCAGAAAUGUGUUCAACUUGUUCCCUUCAAGUAAUGAGUUUACAUUAUUAUUGUUAUUAUUACUCUUCCCAUAAAAUUUUAGUCAAAAAAUGUUUUCUUUUUAAUUUGCACACAAAUCCUAAAAUAUUAAAUUUAUCUUAAAACUUUUUUCUUAUUAUAUAAUUUCUAUCUUUAUAAUUCUAAACUCUUAUAAUUGUCUAAGAAAGAAAAUUCUUCAGUUAAAUUUUAAAAUAUAAUUAUAAAUUAUGAAAUGAGGUGGGUAUAAGAAGUUUGUGUAAAGAAUAAUUUAUUUAAGUUUUUAGUUGAAUUUCCAUUCCAAAUAAGAAAUGAUUUAGUAUGUGUUAGGUUAUUUAAGUAAUUUCAAUUAAAAAAAUGUGUUUUAAGAGGGAUUUGAGAGUUGUCAAAAGGCAUAGAAUUUUAAACUAUACGUCAAAUAAAGAAAUAUACGUCAAAUAAAGUACUUAAACUAUCUUUUUAAGAAAUUGAAAGGGUGAUAAGAGCCACCCACCCAAUAAAAUAAUAGCUCCCCAGAGUAAUAUUUCGUAUUAAAAAUAAUGAUUGUCUAAUUGAAAGGAGCUGUACAUUAUGGGCCCAGUUUUAUGGCCAACAGGUAAUUGUAAACCCACAAAUAUAGUGGUCGAAGCCCAGUUUCUUGUUUGGCAACAAAAGGAAAAUUGAUUCUUGUCAAUAUUAUUGGUUGAUGAGUGUAAGCCAGUUUCGAAUCGAAUUGUUGUAUCUUUCAAUCCGAAAUGGAAAUAUGGAAUCAGUACAUUAGUAGAAUUAAUUAAACAUCACCCUAGCACAAACCCUCAGUCCACAUUUUGCUUAACAAACAAACAAUAUGCCCUAGUGCUUUUAAAAUUAACCUGAAACACAAGAAUUUGGUCCAUAUGUUAGGUGCUCCUUGCAAGUUGGCAAAUCUCGAAGCCCAACGAAGAUAAAUGAGUGAUUUUAUCCAGGCCGUGUGUGUAAUUCCAGGCCCAUAUCAGUUGAGACUUUUCGUGAAUAAUAAGACAUGGAUCUAAAAUUCACGCCCAGAAGACAGACUUUGAGUGAAAAUAAAAUGUCUGAGAAAGUGACACAAUGCAGGAGUUUGAGACUCUGUGUUUGGUGGUAGAAGAACCGUUCAAAUCAAAGUUUAUGUGGUCACAUUUGCCUCACAAGAACAAGAUAGGAUAUCCCACAUUCACUUUGUGGCUAAGAAACGGUGGAAUUUGGAUAGGGAUUUCACGGCUGGUUUUUAUAGGCCUUUUAUCAAUUUAGUUUUUUCAAUCCGACCUUAGCUUUUCGAAUUUUAGUUUCAGUAUUUUCAAUCAACAUUGUAAUCUUUAUUGCCUAGCAUUUUCCUAAUAAAUAAAGAAUUGAUGCAUCGGACACCCAUUCAUGUACACACAAUGAUGAUAAAUUUAGAACCAAUCUUAAUCAUCGCAAACCACACACAUUUACGUAUUUAUUUUUGUCAUUUUCGAUAAUCGAGAACCUAAAAUUAAGGAAUUUAUGAACUAGAAAUUAUAGAAUAUCGAAAGAACAAUUUUAUCGCCUUUACUUGAUGUUUAGCUCAAAAUUUAUAAAGAAUUUACUCGUUAUUGACUGGUCAUUUAUUUUUGGAUAAAAUUAAAAUUAUAAAUUUAUUCAGAUAUAACUCGAUUGAUUGAAUUAAGUAUCUCUAAAUUUAUAUGAUUUGUUUUUAUUACUCUUUAUUUUUGUUAUAGAUUGGUGAUUUACAACAAUUGAGAAUUAUAUAAUCCUUAAUUUAUAGUUGAUAAAUUUGGUGAGUCCGUUGUAGGUGAGUGAGAGCAAAGGAAGAAGAAUUUACUUCUGUUUGAAGGCAAAUUUUAGUGGGAAAAAAAUAGAGGCAGAGACAUGGAACGAACGACAACCCAGUUCACAACGGAAACGACAAAGCCAUAAUUUUCAAACAGAAAAUUUUACUCCAACCACCGAAAAAAAAAAGGAAAAAAGAAAAAAACUCACCCUCAUAGCCAUAACCAUAAUCAUACAACAAACAAAGAAGAAACAGAACACCAUCUUGCAGCGGGAGAGUGAGAAGCAAAACUGGCCAUGGCUCUGGCUCUUCGCAGGCUCUCAUCUUCCCUCGACAAACCCACUCGUCCUCUCUUCAAUGGCUCCUCCCUCUACUACAUGGUCUGUCUGUUUUGCCUCUUUCAUUUUUAUACCAUUUUCUUUGGACUUUCAAAUGGUUCAUUCUGUUCUGUUUGCUCUUUUUGUAAUUUUCUUUUCUUUUUGCAUUCCUUUUCUUUUCGCAGUCAUCUUUGCCAAAUGAAGCUGUUUACGAGAAAGAGAAAAAUGGUGUCACUGUAAGUUGAUAAAUUUUUCUCUAGCUUCCUUCAUACGUUUCCAUUCUGUACCGUACUGGUUUUUUUUUAAUUUAAUUUGUUAAUUUUUCAUGUGGAUAUGGCAGUGGCCAAAACAACUGAAUGCUCCACUUGAGGUCGUUGAUCCUGAGAUUGCUGACAUUAUCGAGCAUGAAAAAGCACGACAAUGGAAGGUAACCUUAUAUCAUUUGUGAGUUUAUUUAUUUUUUUCUUUUGUCCUUCUUAAAGAAAAUUUCAAAUGAACAUCCAUUUAUUCAUUAACUUUGUCUUAACAGUACCUUUUGUUCAUUUUAAUUCACCCCUCUUGCUUUUGGCUGAAAUAAAAUUUUGCCUGUAUCUGGAUUACUAUUUCUCCAAUAUAUGAAAAUUUCAGGUUUCUUUUGGGAUGGAUUUCUUUUUUUUAGAAAAAAUAAUUCUGAAUUAUCUGAAAUAGUUUAUCUAUAUUCAAUUUAUUUUUUACUUUAUAGUUUCUGUCUUGCUGUUAAGCUCCAACUACAUUAAAAAUUUGGAUAGCUUACUGGAAUAAAUUUUGUGUGAUUUUGAAGGGACUUGAACUCAUUCCUUCAGAGAACUUUACUUCAGUAUCCGUGAUGCAAGCUGUGGGGUCUGUCAUGACCAACAAGAACAGUGAAGGAUAUCCAGGUGCAAGAUAUUAUGGAGGAAACGAGUAUGUUGAGCUAAUUAGUUCAAUCUGUGAUGUUUAUAAUAAGCUGAUAUAAGUGACUGGAAAAUUAUGAAGUUGAUUCCUUCAUAUCUACUUCUUUAACUUCGUGACUAAAUUAGCUGUUGAAAAUGGACCUGUCAUUUCUCAGGUAUAUUGACAUGGCGGAAUCCUUAUGUCAGAAGCGAGCUCUGGAAGCAUUUCGGUUGGAUCCUGAAAAAUGGGGAGGUGCAAACUUGUCAUUUGAAAUUCUCGGAAAAAUACUUGUUGUUUUUCUAAUGCUGCAGUAAUUUUCUGAAAGUAUGUCAGUACGAAAAUUCUAUAGGUAUUGAUGUUUAUAAUGCCCAUAUGCAACUUAUCAGUCAAUUAUGAAUCUUUAAAGGAUUGGUACUAACCAAAAUGUUCAUUAUCAAAGGCAAUUUUAAGAGCAUUCUUUGGUGUCAAGGAGACAGCUAAGCGACUUCAUAAUUGAAAAGAAAAGUUUGUGGGAGGAGUUAUGUUACAUGUGAUGACUUAAUGCUUUCUCAUGUUCAUUAUGCCCUGUUAUGCUGCAGUGAAUGUGCAGUCUCUGUCUGGAUCUCCAUCUAAUUUUCAAGUCUACACUGCAUUGUUAAAACCUCAUGAUAGGAUCAUGGCACUUGAUCUUCCUCAUGGUGGGCAUCUCUCACACGGCUAUCAGGUACUCGUAAUUUCUAGAGAUUUUUUAUUUUAUUUUAUCUAAUAGGUAUGUUGACCUGUCCUGCUCUCCUAGACCUUUCAGGUUAAAGGCCCUAUAAUAGGAUUUAAGCUAUAAAUGACCAAUAUCAAGAUCUAUGAAAUCCCAUUUUUAUCAUACCUAACAUUCACUAUCCACAGAUUCUUUAUCCUUAGAGAUUUUAAAGCUACAGGAGCUGUAGUAUUAUAUAACCAAUGAACCUGAUCUCAUCAUUUCUCAUAUUAAAAUGGACUUAGUCUGCAACUUUUCAUCAAUUACGGAGAAAUUUAUUAGUCUAUGUUCUAUUUUCUGGUCAUGUUAUAUGACUGAAUGUAACAUCAAAUAAUUAAUACUGUUAUUUUUAUUUUGCAGACAGAUACCAAAAAGAUAUCUGCAGUGUCCAUAUUUUUUGAGACAAUGCCAUACAGAUUGAAUGAGAGCACUGGCUAUAUAGACUAUGACCAGGUAUUGAAAUUUUAAUAUUUUUGGUACCCUUUUAGGUCCACUAAAUUCCCUAUGAUUACACAAUUUCAUACCAUGGCAGUUGAAGUGAAUGGAAAAGUUGCGUCAUCAAAGUUGGAAUUCAGGCUGUGUAGAACAGACUAAUUACUGAUACGCUUUAAGUGGAAAAUCUUGAAAAUUUAUGGCAGUAAUUCUAUAUUAGUGAGGCUGUUUCUUUUUCUCUCAUGCGAAUUGCAAGAUAUCUGAUUUUCGUAUACAAAGCUGAAGAUUUAACAUGUGCUCUCCAUCAAAUAUAUGGACGUACAGCUAUAAAAUCUUCAAUUUCAUUAACAAUUGAUUUUAGUCCUCCAUGGUUAGCAGGAAAUUGUCAAGAUAAGCAUGCAUCCGAGUUAUCCAUUCAUGUUUUUUCUAUCACCAAAUUUGAUAUUUUGGGUCAUUAUAUACAAGUCUGGACAGAUGGGGAAGGUUGACGAACUUCAAUAAGCCAUGCAUAGAAAUGAGUUUUCAGUUUCAGAUGGUAUUGAUUGGUUGUAUAUACCUUUCAAUAUAUCUGUAAGUAAAAUGUGUUGUGACUUAAAUCAUUGUAUUGCAGUUGGAGAAAAGUGCCACCCUCUUCAGGCCAAAAUUGAUUGUUGCUGGUGCUAGUGCUUAUGCACGAUUGUAUGAUUAUGAGCGUAUUCGCAAGGUAAUCUCCAUUAGGUUGAUCCAGUCUAAUCCAAUUAUGAUAGUCCUACAUCAAAUUUUAAGGUUUUGGCCUGUCUUGAUGGUUUAGAAGGUCUGAGGUUUCAUAUUCUAAAGUGUUUUAACAGGUUUGCAACAAACAAAAAGCUAUAAUGUUGGCAGAUAUGGCACACAUUAGUGGUUUGGUUGCUGCUGGUGUCAUCCCUUCACCUUUUGAGUAUGCAGAUGUUGUGACCACCACAACUCACAAAUCACUUCGUGGGCCACGUGGAGCCAUGAUUUUCUUUAGGAAGGGAGUGAAAGAGAUUAACAAACAAGGGAAGGAGGUGAGUUGUUAAAAUGAAAUAAUAGUUUUGAGUAUAUAGUAUAAUUCUUUCUUGAAGGGACACUAUGUUGGUUUAAUUGAAGCAAAUCUUUAUGCCUACGAGUUUACCUGCAGGUGUUUUAUGAUUAUGAAGAAAAAAUAAAUCAAGCUGUCUUUCCUGGACUCCAAGGUGGCCCACACAACCACACAAUUACUGGUUUAGCAGUUGCCUUGAAACAGGUAUGCACAUUGAUAACAUUUAGUCAUAUUCAUGUUUUUUCUCUGCAUGUGUAUCCUGCUUUUGUCUCAAACCAGAACAACUCUGAAUACAUUGAGGAAGAAAAGGGAAGGCCAUGUGUCAGAUAAUUGAAUGGCAGGAACAGUCUGUACCAUUACCCUAUAUGCGUUAGUUAGGUUGUCAUGUUCAAUUGAGUGCCUUGGCCACCAUUCCACCUUCCAAGCUACAACUGUCAUACUGCAGACACUAAAAUGGUCUUCAAGUAGCCCAAGAAGUGCUUUGUUUCCUUUAUUAUGGAUCGGUGUAUUUGUAUACUAACUAAUACAGGAUCAGUUUUGUAUAGUGGGAUACUUCUAAAGUACGAGAAACAUUAGGUAACAACAUAUAAUAUUAUGUGAGUUACUGGCUCAUAUAAAGCACGAACAAUAAACAGAUCCUUGGCAGUUUUGAUAUUUGUCCAAUGUGGAUACUUGUUUAUUGACCAGCAUUAAGGGGCAUCUCCUGAAUUAUCAUGCAUUUCCUUUAUUCUUCUUAACCUUUUUGGCCAAAUGACCAAUUUUCAAUACCAUUUAAACUUUCAGUUUAUAAUUUUUAACUUGGCAUGGAUGCAGGCCACUACUCCAGAGUAUAAAGCCUAUCAAGAGCAAGUUCUGAGCAAUUGCUCAAAAUUUGCACAGGUAUGCUUCAUGACAUAUAGCAAAAUUGUUGGCAAAACAAGAUCUUGUUAACAAAGCUUUGUCUUUAUUGCAUAUUUGAGCAACAUUCUCUCAUCAAUGUGAGGGCGCAACUUGCUAUCUUUCUGGGUUUUAACUGCCCAAAAUGUCUAUUUAACAGACUCUGCUCGAGAUGGGCUAUGAACUUGUUUCUGGUGGAACUGAGAACCAUCUAGUGUUGGUGAAUUUGAAAAACAAGGUAUCAGAUUUAUCUUUUUUAUCCUUUUAUUGUGUUAGUUCUGGAUGAUGUCCAAUUACUAAUGUACUGUGAGUGUUAAUUUAAGACAUCUUAUUUUGUUACUAGAAUAAAUUGGAGAGUUUGGCUCCAUGUACUGCUUUUAUUACUAGUUUUACCAUGAAAAGUUGGAUGAUCUUACUUUUUGCCAAAAUGUUCCAUCAACAGGGAAUUGAUGGUUCCAGAGUUGAAAAAGUGUUG